rnacentral:misc_RNA from 1 species
GCGAUUUCAAAGAGGAAGAGGCCGGCGAGGAUUUCGAUUCCGAUUGUCUCGUUAGGUUUGGAAAACGUUAGUGAAACUCCGAGGGAAGAGAGUAGGGUGGAUGAAGUGGAAGUUGAAGGAGAAGGAUACUCUGUGUUCUGUAAAAGAGGGGAAAAAAGAGGUGAUAUGGAAGAUCGAUAUUCUGCGGUAGUAAAUGAUGAUGCUAAAAAUGGCUCUAAACAGGCUUUUUUUGGUGUAUUUGAUGGACACGGUGGAGCAAAAGCUGCAGAGUUUGCGGCAAAGAAUUUGGGCAGGAAUAUUAUAAAUGAAGUAGCGUUGAGGAGUGAAGAGGGACUGGAAGAGGCAGUCAGAGAGGGAUACCUCAGUACAGAUGCGGAGUUUCUAAAGCUAAAUGCAAAUGGAGGGAGCUGUUGUGUGACAGCACUGGUACAUAAUGGAGAACUUAUUGUAUCGAAUGCUGGUGACUGUCGUGCUGUUAUGAGCAGAGGAGGAGUGGCG